UUGAUUCUUCUGAAAACGCACUACGCACUCUGCAUAAAGGUGUAACCGGUGUAACAAUGUUAUUUCUUCACUGACACUUUGUGCUGAUACUUUUGUUUGUCAUCGUCUCAACUUGAUACCUGGUUGAUUUAUACCUUGCUUAUUAUUACGCCGAAAAUUUAUCAGUUAGCGUACGACCGACUGUACCAACAACGCCAAUAUAUAAUUUACAUCACAGCAUCGAAGUAUUUUUUUACAGAUUUCGUUGAUAGAAGUAAGAGCAUAGUUACUAAGAUUAUGUCUUUGUUUGUAAAUAUGAUCGAUCUUUUAUGAUAUCGAAAAAACGUUCGUAAUGUAAUACUUUUGAAAUCGGACGAAAUUAAUUUGGAACAAUGGUGGAGGAGAUUGUCAGUCCGUAUAAUAAACCGAAGAGCAAAACUGCGAGACCUCGUCCUGUCUAUCUCUGGAACGUUUUGGAUGUACAGAAAUGGUUGAGACGACAUUGCAGCGAUUACUAUCAGUUGUAUCAUGAGAAAUUUUUAUAUCAUGACAUAACGGGCCGGGCUCUUCUGAGGGUGAACGAGAACAUUUUGUUGCGUUUGGGCAUAGAGAAUGAGGAGCACAGAAUGGACAUCUGGCGUGAAAUAAUGAAGCUCCAUCUGAAAACAGACAUCCUCGAGAUCCGAGACAUCGAACGUCGCAACAACAUGAAUUAUGAUUAGUCAAUUUUCCUUAGAAAAAAAUAUGUUCUUUCAUAUUGCUUUGGGUUUGUUUAUUCAACAAGCGUCUUUCAAAUCGACGCAAAUGUAAGAGCGAAUACCGUUUUUUUUGUACGCUCUGUAGUUAUGGAAGGAUCUUACACGUUCCGAGGACGCAUAAUACUCGUUAAAAAAUGAAUAAGAAUUUAUUCGAAGCUUCA